GAUGAACGCUGGCGGCGUGCCUAAUACAUGCAAGUAGAACGCUGAAGCUUGGUGCUUGCACCGAGCGGAGGAGUUGCGAACGGGUGAGUAACGCGUAGGUAACCUGCCUCUUAGCGGGGGAUAACUAUUGGAAACGAUAGCUAAUACCGCAUAAAAGUCGACAUUGCAUGAUGUUGACUUGAAAGGUGCAAAUGCAUCACUAAGAGAUGGACCUGCGUUGUAUUAGCUAGUUGGUGAGGUAACGGCUCACCAAGGCGACGAUACAUAGCCGACCUGAGAGGGUGAUCGGCCACACUGGGACUGAGACACGGCCCAGACUCCUACGGGAGGCAGCAGUAGGGAAUCUUCGGCAAUGGACGGAAGUCUGACCGAGCAACGCCGCGUGAGUGAAGAAGGUUUUCGGAUCGUAAAGCCCUGUUGUAAGAGAAGAACGAGUGUGAGAGUGGAAAGUUCACACUGUGACGGUAACUUACCAGAAAGGGACGGCUAACUACGUGCCAGCAGCCGCGGUAAUACGUAGGUCCCGAGCGUUAUCCGGAUUUAUUGGGCGUAAAGCGAGCGCAGGCGGUUAGAUAAGUCUGAAGUUAAAGGCUGUGGCUUAACCAUAGUACGCUUUGGAAACUGUUUAACUUGAGUGCAGAAGGGGAGAGUGGAAUUCCAUGUGUAGCGGUGAAAUGCGUAGAUAUAUGGAGGAACACCGGUGGCGAAAGCGGCUCUCUGGUCUGUAACUGACGCUGAGGCUCGAAAGCGUGGGGAGCAAACAGG
rnacentral:rRNA from 1 species